ACUCCAAUAGCUCAGCCUGGUCAGAGCGCACAACUUAUAAUUGUGAUGUCGAUGGUUCAAGUCCAUCUUGGAGUA
rnacentral:tRNA from 1 species